rnacentral:rRNA from 1 species
CAAAGAACUUUGAAGAGAGAGUUUAAGAGGGCGUGAAACCGCUUAGAAUGAAACUGACGGAGCUGAAAAGUCAUCUGUCGGAUUCAAUUUUCUAACAGCCUCGCGGCUGUAAGAGAAUGCAAUUCUGGCAGUUGAGCGCUACGACGAAUAUUUUCGCUGGCUAAGUAUUGUGUAUUGCCGGCUGACCUCCGGGUCAGAGUCCCAUGCACUCUUACUGCCGUGUCGAUAAUAUUGGAGACUUGCCGUGCCCGCUUGUCUCGAGUGAUGCUUGUGCCUGGAGGCGCUGACUACUAAGUUCUAUGUUUAGAGCUUAGCGACUACCGAUCAGGUUAUGAGUGUUUUUCUCGAGUGGUACGUUAAAGUCUGUGGCGUCCGUGUCAGUCACCCGUCAGACCCGUCUUGAAACACGGACCAAGGAGUCUAACAUGUACGCAAGUCAUUGAGUGGUAAACUCAAAGGCGAAAUGAAAGUAAAUGCUAGUUUGGCUAGCUGAAGUGAGAUCCCGAAAGUGUUUGGGCGCAUCACUGCCCCGUCCUAUGGGUUAUGUCCCUUGGGUGGAGGUAGAGCGCACAUGUUGGGACCCGAAAGAUGGUGAACUAUGCUUGAGCAGGACGAAGCCAGAUGAAAAUCUGGUGGAGGUCCGCAGCGGUUCUGACGUGCAAAUCGAUCGUCAGACUUGAGUAUAGGGGCGAAAGACUAAUCGAACCAUC